AUUGAACGCUGGCGGCAUGCUUUACACAUGCAAGUCGAACGGUAACAGGCCUUCGGGUGCUGACGAGUGGCGAACGGGUGAGUAAUGCAUCGGAACGUACCCAGAGGUGGGGGAUAACGCAGCGAAAGCUGUGCUAAUACCGCAUGUGAUCUGAGGAUGAAAGCGGGGGACCGAGCAGCAAUGUUUGGCCUCGCGCCUUUGGAGCGGCCGAUGUCGGAUUAGCUAGUUGGGGGGGUAAAGGCCUACCAAGGCGACGAUCCGUAGCUGGGCUGAGAGGACGACCAGCCACACUGGGACUGAGACACGGCCCAGACUCCUACGGGAGGCAGCAGUGGGGAAUUUUGGACAAUGGGCGCAAGCCUGAUCCAGCAAUGCCGCGUGCGGGAAGAAGGCCUUCGGGUUGUAAACCGCUUUUGGCAGGAACGAAACGGUGUCCGCUAAUACCGGGCGCUAAUGACGGUACCUGCAGAAUAAGCACCGGCUAACUACGUG
rnacentral:rRNA from 1 species